rnacentral:rRNA from 1 species
CUACGGGAGGCUGCAGUGAGGAAUAUUGCACAAUGGGGGGAACCCUGAUGCAGCAACGCCGCGUGGAGGAUGACGCAUUUCGGUGUGUAAACUCCUUUUAUAUGUCAAGAAAAUGACGGUAGCAUAUGAAUAAGCACCGGCUAACUCCGUGCCAGCAGCCGCGGUAAUACGGAGGGUGCAAGCGUUACUCGGAAUCACUGGGCGUAAAGGACGCGUAGGCGGGUUGGAAAGUCAGGUGUGAAAUCCUACAGCUUCACUGUAGAACUGCACUUGAAACUUCUAAUCUAGAGUAUGGGAGGGGGAGAUGGAAUUAGUGGUGUAGGGGUAAAAUCCGUAGAUAUCACUAGGAAUACCUAAAGCGAAGGCGAUCUCCUGGAACAUUACUGACGCUAGGGCGUGAAAGCGUGGGGAGCAAACAGGAUUAGAUACCCUCGUAGUC